rnacentral:rRNA from 1 species
UACGUAGGGGGCUAGCGUUGUCCGGAAUCAUUGGGCGUAAAGCGCGUGUAGGCGGUCCGGUAAGUCCGCUGUGAAAGUCGGGGGCUCAACCCUCGGAUGCCGGUGGAUACUGUCGGGCUUGAGUACGGAAGAGGCGAGUGGAAUUCCUGGUGUAGCGGUGAAAUGCGUAGAGAUCCGGAGGAACACCGACGGCGUAGGCAGCGCCCUGGACGACACCGUGACGCUGAGGCA